rnacentral:misc_RNA from 1 species
GGCUGUGUUGGCCACCUCUUUACACUCCAACAGCAGAGGAGGGGGGGAAGCCUCCAUGUAUUGGGUCGACGACUAAGGAGAUUAGCUAGUUGCUUGCCGGAGCUAGCAAGCAAACUUCAGCAGCUCGAGAAAUAUUGAAAUACAUGCAGUUUUGACUUUGGUGGUCGACCUUCCUUGCAAUCUGGCAGAGGAGACAGAGACUAACGUUAGUGCAUUUUAUUAUACAUGAUCAUCUUAUAUGCUAG